AAAAAAUGGAAGAACGAAGGAAAACCAAUGCUGCAGACCGAGUACGCAUGUUCUCUUCCCCUGUCUCUCUCGGAUCAUCUCAUCCAUUUUUUCAGUGAUUUGGCUCUCUCCUAUUUUCAUCAUCAUCAUCCUAAAUAAAUAAAUUCCUUUGAAAACACAGAGCAAAAUAACAAGAAGGAGAGCAAGAGAAAACUCCCAAAAAAAUCAUAAAAAAGGAGGAAAAAAACCCUGUGACUCCUCUCCUUAAAAUUUAUUUCUAUUAAUGUGCUUGUAAUCUCCAAUAUCCAAUCUCUAUUAUCGUUUUUUUUUACCUGUCAUGAUUUGCUUUUCAUCGUCGCAUCUUUCUUUUUCAGAUGAUUCUGCAAACUACAUUUUGUUGAUUUUUGUAAUUUGAGGCUUCACUAAGCGAGUCUCUGAUUAGUUCUCAUAUUUCAACAUUUUAUUCCCUUUGAUCUGCUGAUAUCGCCUCAAAGUAUUCUGUAUAAAAGCUGGAAAUUUGAACUCUUCCUGUUCGUGAGUGGAAGCUUGCAGCUAGUUAUGGAUGUCAAUGCAUGGAGAUUUUGACAUAGUUGUAUUUCGGUUGUAGAUUUCAACUACCAGUCUGAGCUUGUGGUCCCUUUAAUAUUUUGACCAUAGAAAUGGGAGCUUGACUGGACAUUUGUUUUGAAAUUUGGAAUAAUAUUUAGCGAUUCUGAGAUAUUUGGAAUAUAUCUUCCGUGAUGCAAGGUCAGGGGGGCACCGUUGACUCCUUUCCUGAAACUGUUAACAUUGAUGAGGGAUCUAGUCCC